rnacentral:tRNA from 1 species
GGACGACGGCGAGGUGGUCGUGCGCACGGGCUCCAAAUCCAACAGGAAGAUGGGCGACG